rnacentral:rRNA from 1 species
UACGAAGGGGGCUAGCGUUGUUCGGAAUUACUGGGCGUAAAGCGCGUGUAGGCGGGUCUUUAAGUCAGGGGUGAAAUGCCAAGGCUCAACCUUGGAACUGCCUUUGAUACUGGAGAUCUUGAGUCCGGGAGAGGUGAGUGGAAUUGCGAGUGUAGAGGUGAAAUUCGUAGAUAUUCGCAAGAACACCAGUGGCGAAGGCGGCUCACUGGCCCGGAACUGACGCUGAGACGCGAAAGCGUGGGGAGCAAACAGGAUUAGAUACCCUGGUAGUCCACGCUGUAAACGAUGGAUGCUAGCCGUUGGGGAGCUUGCUCUUCAGUGGCGCAGCUAACGCUUUAAGCAUCCCGCCUGGGGAGUACGGUCGCAAGAUUAAA